CUUGGUGAUUAGCUUUCGAUGUGUGCAUUCCUGAGGGAAUGAAACAGAUCUGGAAAGGAGUGCUCCUGCCCAGGGAACUGCCGCUCCUGGUUGCCAUGGAAAUAGCCGCCAACGACACUUCCGGAAAUCAGUGCUAAGAUUGGAAACGGUCCCUCUUAAUUGCGGUGGCAACUUAGUAACAGACUCUUAGUACUUCCCCUCUCCCCACCCCUUUCCUUCUUCCAGUGUAGGGGUGAGCUCUCUAGAGCCUGAGGAAGAAGUCACUGGAUUGUACCACACGGGGUUGGGGGGGAGGAGAAUCUAUCCACAUACCUCAGGCUUCACACGCAUGACCUUUUCUUCCCUUCUUCAAAGGACACUAACCCUAUGAUAAAGCCCUUAUCCUGCGUGCCACUUCUCAAAGGCUCCAUCCCUGAACACCCCCACACCAGGCCUAUGAAUAUAGAAGGUACAGAAAUAAUUUAGUUCAUGGCAUUUAGAAAAGACUUUUCAGUCAGGUUCAUCAUCGUAAGCUAAGAUAUUAUUAGUCUGAUUUUGGGAGUGGGGGUUGUUUUGGUUUGGUUUGGUUUUCCGUUUGUUUCUGGAAAGGAAGAGACAAGCUGUAUGGCAUGCUCUGCCCGUUGGAUACUGUAACCGCACAUGGGAGAGAUUCUCCAGACGGCCCAGUCAGAGCUUUCCACGAUAGUGAUAAAGCUUGCCAACCAGCAUGGAUUUCUCAUCCAUUGCAGGGAUAUGUGCCCACAGCAGAUAUGGGACCAAGAACCACCCCAGCAGCCAGAACCCAAUACCAUUUCCUAUCUUUGUAAUCCGAUCCACCCCUCCUCACUCUUAGGAGCAGCAAGCUUGACUACAGAGCUGUCCUUUCCAGCCACCAUUCAUUGCUGCUAGAGUUUGCAUGUUGUAUGCCCUCCUCCAAUCCUGUGUGUUAAUGACGUGGUUGUCAAUGGGUACUACUGGGGUUGGUGAGGCCCCUGAGAAGCAAGAAGGUCCAUUGAGGGUGUGCCAUUAAAGAAGACUGGUACCUAGA